rnacentral:rRNA from 1 species
GUGGGGAAUUUUGGACAAUGGGCGCAAGCCUGAUCCAGCAAUGCCGCGUGCAGGAAGAAGGCCUUCGGGUUGUAAACUGCUUUUGUACGGAACGAAAAGGCUCUGGUUAAUACCUGGGGCUCAUGACGGUACCGUAAGAAUAAGCACCGGCUAACUACGUGCCAGCAGCCGCGGUAAUACGUAGGGUGCAAGCGUUAAUCGGAAUUACUGGGCGUAAAGCGUGCGCAGGCGGUGCUGUAAGACAGGCGUGAAAUCCCCGGGCUUAACCUGGGAAUUGCGCUUGUGACUGCAGUGCUGGAGUGCGGCAGAGGGGGAUGGAAUUCCGCGUGUAGCAGUGAAAUGCGUAGAUAUGCGGAGGAACACCGAUGGCGAAGGCAAUCCCCUGGGCCUGCACUGACGCUCAUGCACGAAAGCGUGGGGAGCAAACAGGAUUAGAAACCCUGGUAGUCC